rnacentral:rRNA from 1 species
AUAUGGGGCUAUAUUACUCUGAAUGUACCAGAUCUGGUCUGAUACGUGAAGCUAAGCAGAGUUGGGCCAUGUUAGUGCUUCCCUUGUU